rnacentral:misc_RNA from 1 species
UGGUUCUGGCAUCGAUGAAGAACGCAGCGAAAUGCGAUAAGUAAUGCGAAUUGCAGAAUAGUGAGUCAUCGAAUCUUUGAACGCACAUUGCGCCCUUUGGCAUUCCGAAGGGCAUGCCUGUUCGAGCGUCAUUAUCAACCAUCAAGCCUGGGCUUGCAGUUGAGCCCUCCCUUGACCGGGAGGGUUCGAAAGUCAGUGGCGGGGUGACAGUCGGACCCUAGAUGCAACGAGCUGUUUAUAACCAGCACGCAUUGAAGCGGCCGGCCACCUUGGCCCUCUCCUUUUAACUAUAUCAAGGUUGACCUCGGAUCAGGUAGGGAUACCCGCUGA